UACGUAGGGGGCUAGCGUUGUCCGGAAUCAUUGGGCGUAAAGCGCGUGUAGGCGGUUCGGUAAGUCCGCUGUGAAAGUCGGGGGCUCAACCCUCGAAUGCCGGUGGAUACUGUCGGACUAGAGUACGGAAGAGGCGAGUGGAAUUCCUGGUGUAGCAGUGAAAUGCGCAGAUAUCAGGAGGAACACCAAUUGCGAAGGCAGCUCGCUGGGACGUUACUGACGCUGAGACGCGAAAGCGUGGGGAGCAAACAGG
rnacentral:rRNA from 1 species